rnacentral:lncRNA from 13 species
AGCACUGCAGCAUGACACAGACAGAUUGAGGACUGCAGCCUUGGAACACCCUUAAACAGAAUGUACUUUUUAUCUCUCCAAAAGCAAAUUGUCUAAUAAGCAACAAAUAAAGGCCCUUCAGGGACUUUGGAGGGCUGCCUUUCCUGGGAACACUGAGGAGCAGACAACUGCCGAGAUUCCCCACUCUGCCAAUAGGAUGGCAAUUUCGCAUGCACGGCCCUAGGAUUUUAGCCUUUCGUAAGUCUUCUAGAGAAAGGGGAGUUUCUUCUAGGUGGCAUGGGACACAGGAAUUAUUUGAAAGGAUUUGGGAGUGGACUCAAGGACUGGUACAGUGGAAUUAAUCAUUUCUGUGCAAAAGGAAUGACUAAUUUUCUCUCAACUUGUUUUUAACUAGUCCCUGUCCAAAGCACUGUGACUUGCUCCUGCAAUGUGUCAGCAAGAUCUCCAUCAGGUAAAGAAAGCAUGAUUGCAGCACUACUCCUAUGCUUGGGAAAAAAAGGAAUAUCAGAUGUUUGUGACAUGGUCAAUAUUGUUUGAAACCAAAAUGCUGAGAUGCCUCAUUUUUCACCUUUAUUAAACUUUUAUCAUGCCUGAAACACUUGUCUGGAAUUGGUCAACCUAAGAUAGGAAAAAAAGAUAAUUCACUGCUGCAAGAACAGACUUGCAUUAAAAUC